rnacentral:lncRNA from 1 species
UGUCAUGUGCUAUGGCCCUUAUAAUUCUGUUUUUUUUUCCCCAAUAGAUUUCAACCUCAAAAUCUUUCGUCCCUAGAAUUCUCUCUUAUCUAUAAAAAGUGGCAACUAGUAAGUUCUUUUUUUUUUUUUUUCACAGAAUGAAAAUAAUUAAGUUCUGUCAAAUAAUAUGUCGGGCUCCUGUAUUAGAUUUCUUGUUCAAAUCCUCUAUCUGAACUGACCCCAUUGAUUAUUAAAAAAGCUGACCCCAGAAAAUUGGUAGCCCCAGAGAGGGCCGAGCUGUGUCAGUCGGGCCUUUGUCAUGAUUAAAAAAAUUUUGAAAUUAUAUGUAUUUAAAAUAAAAUUUAAAGAAUUUUUUGGUUUAGUUUUUUUGUUAUUGAGAUUAAUAUUAAUUUUAUCUGUUAUAUUUUUAUUAUAGAUAGAACAUUUUAAACAAUAUAUCUUUUAAAGAUUCAUUUGUUUAAUUGAAUGGAAAAUCAAUAAUUUAAUUAUAUAUAUUUAAUGUAUAUAAUUAAAUUAUUAUAAAACAUUUAUGUAAAAUUUAUUUUAUUAAUUUUUCAUAAUCUAGUAUGUAUGAAAGAAAUCUCCACUAAAUAAAAUUUCUAUUCCGCUACUAGCCCUAGAGACAACCUUCUCACGCUGCUAGACAUCACGUUUUCAAUUUUUUUUUUCUCAUGAAGUUGUUAUUUAAAAAAUCCUUAUUUUUACAGUAAAAAAUUUUUAUUUUUUAAUUUAAAAAAAUUAAAAAUAAUUUUAUUAAACAUUACAUAUUAGCUUCAUUUUUAGAAACUAAACCCAUCUUAAGAAAAACACAUUGUUGGUAGGAUAGGUUAUUUUUCCUACUUUGGAUGAAUGAAAACCAAUUCAAUUAUCCAAAAAUAAAAAUGCAUUGCCUUGAUCAAACAAUCAAAUAUAAGAAAAUUUUAUUUUAUUUUUUUUUGAAAGAUAAAAAACAAACAGAUUGCAAAUUUCUAAUAGUAUUACAUACAAGUCUUUGGAUGGUCCAAUGGAAGAAAAAAAAAAGAACAAAAAUUAUUGAAAUGGUAAUGAAAUGAUGAUUUUUUUUUCAUUGUACUAAAAAAUUUAAUACGUAAAUAAAUUUUCUAACUUUAUUUUAAAAUGCAAACAAGCCCUUGAUUCUUUGUUGCAUGAAAUUAAGACUAAAAUUUUUAUUUUAUUUUAUUAUAAUUAGACUAAUUAAAUCUUUAAAUUGUAUGAAUAAUAUCUAAUUAAUAUGUGUCAUUUAACUUAAUCAAAUGAAUCUAAGUAAAUAUUUCUACAAAGUAAAUCAUCUAACUAAAAAAUUUAAAUAAAAAAUAAAUAUUUUAUAUCAUCAAGGUCCUAAAUACAUGAAAUAAAAAUUCAAAAUUUUAAUUUCUGCAAUAAAAAAUUAAUGGCUUAUUUAUAUUUUAAAAUAAAAUUUAAAAGUUUAUUUGAAUAUUAAAAAAUAAUAAUAAAUAAAUAUAAUUUGUAUCUCUUUGUCAAAAUCAAAAUAAUAAAAAAAUUCUUUAAUUUAUUGGUGUAAUGAUAAAAAAGUUUAAAAAAAUAUAUAGGAUAAAAGCUUAAACCUCACCAUCUUCGUCCGUCAUUCACUAUCUAACAGACAAAAAAUCAAAGGAAAAAGAAAAAAACUAGGAAAAAUAAAAAUUGUUUGGCCCCACCUCUUCAAUGAUACAGCAAUUUUUGUCGAAAUGUAUUGGAAUUUGGAAGUUAAAGGCAAACAAAACAAAUUUACAAAUUUGAAGCUUAUCCACGUUAUCUUUUGUCUCGUACAUUUACCAUUAUCACAAAACGUUCGAGUGGCCACGUCUCAAAGUGUCCUGGCUUAUCCCUAUAUUAUAUGUUUAUAUUUUGCACGUUUUAAUUUCAUUUUGAUAAAAUUAAUUAAUUUAUAUACAUGUAAUUUGACUAUUUUUUUCUUUCGCUUUUUGGGUAGAUAUAUGUCACAAUAAAUUUGCAGAUGAUUUGUUUUUUUUUUUUUUUUAAGGAUUUGUUCAAGUUUUAUUCGAUGCAACGAAAACGCGGGUUGUUAGAGCAAUUAAACUAGUGCUGGUUAUAGUUUUUAUGAUUCAUAUUUCGUUUUCCCUUGUUCAUGUUUCCCCCUUUCAUUACUCGUGUGUUUGUGUCGAGCUCAAACCUCGAAGUAUUCUUAGCAAGACAGAAGAUAAGGAUAGCUAAAUGUAAAAGCAAAAAGUAUUCUUUGUGUUUAUAUUUUGAUGUGCAAGUUAGAAUAAAUAAAAUAACAAGAAGAGUAAGAAAGAGAAAUAUAGAUAGAUUGAACUUAUCUCAAUGUUUGCCUAGAUUUUUAUAUUUAUAGAUAAGUGAGGAGAGACCAUUAUAGAACAAUAAGGACAAUAUGAAGCUAAUGUGGCAUUAUUUAUGUUAGACAGAUC